AAGAAGACAGAGAAGGCUGGAGUGUGUGGAGGGUCUGUCCACAAAAAGGGAGCUGAAAGCUUCUGAUUGAUCUAAUCGUCCAGAGAGGGGGGGGGAGAGAGAGAGAGAGAGAGAGAGAGGCGUCUCCUAUUAACCAUUCCCAAGGUUUUAUCUGUUCAACUAGGCUUUUCUGUCCGUUCCGGUGGAGGCUUUAGUUCUCUGAGAGAUAAGAUCGCCAUGCUUACAACGCAGCUUUCUUUCGUCCUGUCGUCCAGUGAGUGAGAGGGAGAGAGGAAGACGAGGUGGGGAAGAGAGAGGGUGGGCUUCUAGAAGAGAGAGACGCUGGAGGGUAACGGGUAGGGGCGGCUGGAGGAGAUUCCUUCCAGUCUGUACCGCGCUGUGCGUAGGCCACAAGGGGAGAUACCCAUAUGCUUGAGAUUAUCUCAAGACUCAGUCUUGAACCUGAUCCUGCCAGCCCCAGGUCUGUUGUUCUGCUGGACUAUUUUAGAUCGUGCUGAUAUAUUCGCAUUUAUCAUGGGACAGACUACGACAAAUAGUCGGCUGCCGAUUAAACGACAUCAACCGAGGGGUUUUUUAUCCCCUCCGACGUGUACGACUUCCUAUGUGACGCGCCGGGCCGCCAGCGUAGCGGCGAAUCAAAGGAUUCGGGAUCUCGUCACCUGGGAGAUCCGGACCGUUCAUGCCAUCGUCUCAUCGCACGCAGAAACGUGGUCAACUCAGCCAUUGAAGUCGACUUUUUGAGAUAGACUUGUUUUUGUCAAAAAUCCCAUAAAAAAAUGCAACUGGGCUUGAUAUUAUCUUGGGAGGAAAUAAAAAAUGAUG
rnacentral:lncRNA from 1 species